GGCAGUGUAGCUCAGUGGAAGAGUAUUCGACUGAAGAUCGAGAGGUCAGUGGUUCAACUCCGAUCGCUCCCU
rnacentral:tRNA from 1 species